rnacentral:rRNA from 1 species
AAGCGGUGGAUGAUGUGGAUUAAUUCGAUGCAACGCGAAAACCUUACCUACCCUUGACAGUGUCCGGAAUCCCGAAGAGAUUUGGGAGUGCUCGCAAGGAGAACCGGAACACAGGUGCUGCAUGGCUGUCGUCAGCUCGUGUCGUGAGAUGUUGGGUUAAGUCCCGCAACGAGCGCAACCCUUGUCAUUAGUUGCCAUCAUUUGGUUGGGCACUCUAAUGAGACUGCCGGUGACAAACCGGAGGAAGGUGGGGAUGACGUCAAGUCCUCAUGGCCCUUAUGGGUAGGGCUUCACACGUCAUACAAUGGUCGGUACAGAGGGUUGCCAACCCGCGAGGGGGAGCUAACCCCACAAAGCCGAUCGUAGUCCGGAUCGCAGUCUGCAACUCGACUGCGUGAAGUCGGAAUCGCUAGUAAUCGUGGAUCAGCAUGUCACGGUGAAUACGUUCCCGGGUCUU